rnacentral:rRNA from 1 species
CCUACGGUGUGCAGCAGUGAGGAAUAUUGGUCAAUGGGCGAGAGCCUGAACCAGCCAAGUCGCGUGAGGGAUGACGGUCCUAUGGAUUGUAAACCUCUUUUGUCGGGGAACAAAGGCGUCCACGUGUGGACUGAUGAGUGUACCCGAAGAAAAAGCAUCGGCUAACUCCGUGCCAGCAGCCGCGGUAAUACGGAGGGUGCAAGCGUUACUCGGAAUCACUGGGCGUAAAGAGUGCGCAGGCGGGCUUGUAAGUCAGAUGUGAAAUCCUGUAGCUUAACUACAGAACUGCAUUUGAAACUAUGAGUCUAGAGUGUGGGAGAGGUAGGUGGAAUGCUUGGUGUAGGGGUAAAAUCCGUAGAUAUCAAGAGGAAUACUCAUUGCGAAGGCGACCUACUGGAACAUUACUGACGCUCAUGCACGAAAGCGUGGGGAGCAAACAGGAUUAGAUACCCCAGUAGUC